UACAGAGGGUGCAAGCGUUGCUCGGAAUUAUUGGGCGUAAAGGGCAGGUAGGUGGUCUUAUUUGUCUAGGGUGAAAUCCUUGAGCUUAACUCAAGAAGUGCCCCGGAAACGGUAAGACUAGAGUACUGGAGAGGGUCGUGGAAUUCCCGGUGUAGCGGUGAAAUGCGUAGAGAUCGGGAGGAACACCAGCGGCGAAGGCGGCGACCUGGACAGUGACUGACACUCAACUGCGAAAGCGUGGGGAGCAAACAGG
rnacentral:rRNA from 1 species